rnacentral:tmRNA from 1 species
ACGCUUUUUUUCGAAAGCAUUGCACCCUAUAUUCGUCGUGCUGGCUUCGGCCAGCUAUGGCGAUAAACGCGGUCGUAAUAAGCCGAUCGGACCCGGGGGCGGUACCCGGCGCCUCCACCACAUGCCACCUUUCACUGCUCGUCGAGCGGGCUGAGGCGGCAUCUGAUGGGGGCGAAAUAGGAUCGACGAAGGCGUAAAGGACUUAGCUUUUGCCCGGCAUGAUACCACCGUUAUCGGGUCUUACAGAAUAGUUGCCAAUGACAACUAUGCUGAGGCCGCUCUCGCUGCGUAAUGCAGUGCGAAUAGCCUGAACUUGAAGCCCUUAUCCGUAGCAGGAUAAGGCGCGGUCCGGAGGGCACCGGGCAACAGAAGCCCUCCACU